UUAACUCAACUUUGUAUGGAGUUGGAACCUUUGCCUAUGUUUAUCGCUAGGGGCGUUGUUCCAACUGCAUACAAUGAGU
rnacentral:pre_miRNA from 1 species